GUCAGGCUCCAGGAAGNNCACAAGCGGCACGGUUCAUACAUGCGAGUCGAGGGGCAAACAUAAAGUACUUGUACAUUUGAUGGCGACCGGCGAACGGGUGCGUAACGCGUAUUCAUCUUACCUUUUACUAGAGAAUAGCCAAGAGAAAUUUUGAUUAAUGCUCUAUACUCUUUUUAACUCACAUGAGUUUUUAAGAAAAGCUCCGGCGGUAAAAGAUGGGCAUGCGUCCUAUUAGCUUGUAGGUGAGGUAACGGCUCACCUAAGCUCCGAUAGGUAGGGGUCCUGAGAGGGAGAUCCCCCACACUGGUACUGAGACACGGACCAGACUUCUACGGAAGGCAGCAGUAAGGAAUAUUGGACAAUGGAGGAAACUCUGAUCCAGCGAUGCCGCGUGAAGGAAGACGGCCCUAUGGGUUGUAAACUUCUUUUAUACAGGAAGAAACCUUUCCACGUGUGGAAAGCUGACGGUACUGUAAGAAUAAGGAUCGGCUAACUCCGUGCCAGCAGA
rnacentral:rRNA from 1 species